AUUGAACGCUGGCGGCAGGCCUAACACAUGCAAGUCGAACGGAGUGGCGGACGGGUGUGUAAUGCCUAGGAAUCUGCCUGGUAGUUGGGGAUAACGUCCGGAAACGGGCGCUAAUCCCGCAUACUAUCAGAUGAUCCUAGGUUGGAUUAGCUAGUUGGUGGGGUAAAGGCCUACCAAGGCGACGAUCCGUAACUGGUCUGAGAGGAUGAUCGGUCACACUGGAACUGAGACACGGUCCAGACUCCUACGGGAGGCAGCAGUGGGGAAGAUUGGACAAUGGGCGAAAGCCUGAUCCAGCCAUGCCGCGUGUGUGAAGAAGGUCUUCGGAUUGUAAAGCACUUUAAGUUGGGAGGCGUUACCAACAGAAUAAGCACCGGCUAACUUCGUGCCAGCAGCCGCGGUAAUAC
rnacentral:rRNA from 1 species